GAUUCUGGCAUUUAAUUUAUUUAAAUAAAUAAUGCAUUUUUUAGCUCAUCAUUUCUGUUCUUUUUUUUUUUUUCUUUUCCUUUCUCUUCUCUUCCUCUUCUCUUCCUCUUCUCUUCCUCUUCUCUCCUCCUCUCUCUCUCCUCUUCCUCUUCCUCCUCUCCUCUUCCUCUCCUCUCCCUCUUCCUCUUCCUCUUCCUCUUCUCCUCUUCCUCUCCUCUUCCUCUUCUCUCCAUUUCUCUCUCUUCUCUCCUCUUCUCUUCCUUUUCCCUUCUGUCCUCUUCCUCUUCCUUUUCUCUCCUCUCCUCUUCCUCUUCUCUCCUCUUCCUCUUCCUCUUCCUCUUCCUCUUUCUCUCCUCUUCUCUCCUCCUCUCCCUUCCCCUCUCCUUUUAAAUUUCCCCUUUUCAUUCCCUUUCUCAUUCCUUUUCCCUCCCCUUCUUCUCCUCUCCUCUCCUCUCCUCUCCUCUCCUCUCCUCUCCUCUCCUCUCCUCUCCUCUCCUCUCCUCUCCUCUCCUCCCUUUCCUCUUCCCUUCCCUUCCCCUCUUCCCUUCCCCUCCCCUCUUCCCUUCCCCUCCCGUCUUCCUUCCUCUCUUUUUCCUUCCCUCCUGCCUUUCCUUCUUCCCCCUCCCUCCCUCUCCCCUCUCUCCCUCCCCCUCCUUGUCCCUUCCCCUCCCCUCCUCUCAGAUUUCCCUUUUUCACUCCCUUUU
rnacentral:lncRNA from 1 species